rnacentral:rRNA from 1 species
CAGCUUAGUGCUGUGACGGCGUGCCUUUUGCAUAAUGUGCCUACGAGUUAAUUUUACUAGCGAG